UUGAAGAAGACCAUGUUGAGACACUUUCAAUGAAUGGCAACAAAAUGCAAGUCAAAGAUUUCAUAUGGUCUGAGGAAGAAUGGCCUGCAAUAAAGCACGAUGAUUUCGGAGAUGUAAUUAACGAUAUUCCAGUGAUUAGUCUUAAUGGUAUUUGGGACAGUCAAGAACUAUACGAAAAUGUCUGCCAAGAUAUGGUGAAAGCAAGCGAAAAAUGGGGAUUCUUUAAGCUUGUGGAUCAUGGGGUACCUAGUGAGAUCGUUGAGAAUUAUACCAGUCGCUUGCACGAGCUUUUUGAUCUUCCCAUGGAACAAAAGCUCAAAGGUGGCAAAACAUCCAGCUUGCCGUUAGGGUAUUACGCCUCAAAUCCUGAGUAUGAGCAAAACUUGCCUUGGGCUGAAAUCUUGCAGCUGCUUCAGUCACCUGAAAUGGUUGUCCAAUUCGCCAAAAAGGUCUAUGGGGAACAAUACCACACAUUUAGGUAAACAUACAACACUUAUAUCAUCAAUCAGUCCCCUACUGUGCGAGCUUGAUUCAUUUUGAUGGGACAAGCACAUGGAAAUCUCUUUGAACAUAGGACCUCGACCUGCUCUUAUUAAUACCACGUUAAAUUGUGUGACCAGAUCUAAGUCUAAGUUGCUAGAAAGAGUACGCUUUAAUUUAACUAACUAAUCUUACCAAAAAUGCUGAUUUUGCUGGUUUUGACUCUGAUAAACUGAACAGCAAUGCAAUGAUAGAGUACAUGAAAGAGAUGGACAAGCUAGGAAUGAUUAUAAUGGAGAUGUUGGCUCAUGGAUUAGGUCUAGCAAAUGAUUUCUUCAGCAAAAACUUUGAAGAAAAGGAGGCUACUAUAUUCAGGAUAAGCAGAUAUCCCCCUUGUCCCCUCCCAGAGAAGAUAGUAGGAAUAGGGAUCCAUGCAGAUCCACAAACCUUGACCAUAUUGUAUCAAGAUCAGGUUGGUGGCCUUCAAAUCCUCAAGGAUGACAAACAAUGGAUUGGAGUCCGCCCUCUUCCCAAUUCAUUUGUCAUCAAUAUCGGCGACACCCUUGAGGUCAUUCUCUAUCUAUCUAUCUCUCAAAAAAAAAAUCAUAAUUACUACAAUGAUCAGGCUGCAAUUUUCUUAAAGUAUGUUUGGUAUUGACAGAAAAACAUUUUUCAUGAAAAAUGACUUUUGUCAUACCAAACACACAUGUUUUUGUGUAUUUUCAAGUAAGUAUUGAACCUUUGUUUCUUGCAGGCUUGGACAAAUGGAAGGUUGAAAAGUGUUAUACACAGGGCAGUGGUGAAUAAGGAAAAACAAAGGCUAUCAAUGGCAUAUUUCUUGAAUCCAACAAGCAGUGCAACAAUUGAAUGCCCUCCUCAGCUUAUUGAUCCAGUUUCCAAUCCUAGAAAAUAUGUAUCUUUUACGUGGGCUGAGCUGCGGCAUCAUCUUUUGACUACCAGGAGAGUUAGGGGCAAAGCUGUUGCCAUCAAUAAAUUCCUUAUAUCUAGUUGAGACUCUAGAAUCCUUCAUCAUUUUCAAAUCUAUAGAUGCGAUCUGCAUUCUCGACUAUGUGAAUGUACGUUAGUGUAAAUGAAAAAGAAGUCUUGUGAAGUCUCAUCGAUGAUGAUGGUAAGAUUUGAACCCAGGAUAUCUCUCUGUUCAAACUUUGGAUACCAUAUUGAAGUAUGUACGGUGAAUAAAAGUCUUGAGUUUGUUUAUUAAAUAAACAUCAUGAGUUCAAACAGACAUAACGGCGGUUCAUUUGUGAACAUAUGGAUUCAGUUACACCUCUACUAUUAUUAGUCUUACUAGCUCACUGUGCAUUGCACUACUAAUGUAGUCAAUUCAGGAAAAACAAAUCGCUGUCUAUUUCUGAAGCAAUUCCUGAAUGAUUAUCACUAAUGCAACUUGACACUAACUAUAAAUAGGCACGUGUGCAGGGAAAUACAUACUACAAGAUGAGAAUCUAUCGCUAUAAGAUCCUUAGAGAGAAAAGGAUCAUCCAACAUUGGAUAAACCACUUCUGCAAUAUGCUCUGGACAUCGUAGCUACUAGACACUAACACAAGUAGGCACAAGAGCAGGGCAAUAAAACUUACAAGUUUAGAAGCUACCAUAAGAUCCUUAAAAGAGAGGGAUCAUCCAAACUCUGACAGCCACUUCUACUGGUUUCGCUCUAUUUCAAUGCACUCCAUGAUAAGGAUUUGACACAGUGCCACUGCUGACAUGUUAGUGGAAUAGUUGUACCAUAUAAAGCCACUGCUUAUUACGGAAUCAAUGAAGUAAGGAUCCAUGUGUUGUAAUAUCAGGAAGAUCAGAACUAACGNNNNNNNNNNNNNNNNNNNNNNNNNNNNNNNNNNNNNNNNNNNNNNNNNNNNNNNNNNNNNNNNNNNNN
rnacentral:lncRNA from 1 species